rnacentral:ncRNA from 1 species
UUUUCCAUCCUGCCAUUAAAAGUUUUAUUCUAGCUAGGGAAUUUUUUAAUUUUAUUGGUUCACAUGUGAGAUUUAUCGGGAGUUUCGGAUUGUCUUAAGGAUAGAAAUUUAUGAUUUAAUCGCAGUGUUUUGGAUUAAAAAUCAAGGGGACUUGGAAUUAGCAAUUAGGGUAGUCCCGGCAAAAUUCGUGCCAGCCGCCGCGGUUACACGAAAGGGGCAAAAAUAUUUUAUUGGCUCGCAAUUAAUUAUGGAGAGGGUUGGAAAAUUAAUUUUGUUAGGUGAAAUUUUAAAAUUAGGGUUAAUCUUAUGAGGUUGAAUGAAGUUGUGAAAUUUGGUAGUAAGACUAGGAUUAGAUACCCUAUUAUUCCAAACGUUAAAAAGGGGCCUGAGUAGUAAGAGAUACGAUCUUGAAACUCAAAGAAUUUGGCGGUGUUUUAGUCCAUUCAGAGGAAUCUGUCCCGUGAUCGAUAUUCCACGUUUACUUAACUUAGAUUAGGUGUCAGCUUAUAUACCGCCGUCAAAAGAGUGAUUCUAGAGAAUAUCCUCAAUCACCUUAAUUAAGGUUUAUGUCAGGUCAAGGUGUAGCUCAUGUCUAAGGGGAGAUGGAUUACAAUAAGGAUACUUAAACGGAAUACUAUUUGCAAAAAUGGUUAGAAGGUGGAUUUGAGUGUAAUGGUGUUUAGGAAAAUAUUAUGAAAGUGGCUCUAAAACAAGCACACAUCGCCCGUCGCUCUCGUUUGUUAAGGCGAGAUAAGUCGUAACAAAGUAGGUGUACCGGAAGGUGCCUCUAGAAAGU